rnacentral:lncRNA from 1 species
GUACAACAACAACAACAAACCCAGUGUAUUCCCACUUAGUGGGGUCUGGGGGGGGUAAGAUGUACGCAGUCCAUACCUCUACCUCUGAUGAAGUAGAAAGGCUGUUUCCGAAAGACCCCCGGCUCAAGUCACGAGAUAUCACACAAACACAUAGUACAGCACAGAAGCAGAUGACGUAACAUAGGUACGGCACCCAUAAGGAAUAUAAAACAGAGUAAAGCAGGAAUGCAGGAAUAUACAGCAGAGGAAAGCACACAUAUUCGUAAUAAACAUGGAACACGGAACACGGAACAUUGAAU